UUUGGGGUCUCCUGUUGGACGGUAUGUAGCAAUAUGUAAGUCACGGUUAGACCAAAUCAGUUCGAUAUACUGGCACUGGUUAUGUUUACUAACACACUAUCGUGUUGGAAAUUCGAUGGACUAAACCAGCUUCAAGUGUACCUAAAAUACUAAAAUGAAUAGUAAUUUUAUUACAUAGAUUCUUAAAAUAGUAAAGGAAAAAUUAAAAACUAUCCUUGUACGUGUGAUUUGAAAAUAUUAAACCAGUU